UCCAGGGCUGCUCUGGGCACCUGUGCCAGGGCCUGCCACCCUCACAGGGAAGGACUUUUCCUAAUUUCUAAUCUAAACCUUCUCAGUUUGAAGCCAUUGCCCCUUGUCCCAUCACUACAGACUUGUGAAUUCUCCCUGUAACAUUUGAAGAAAGAAUUAAACAUGUCAGAAAUGUGUCACUGGACUCUGCUUAACUGUAGCACUCUGCUGGACUUCAGUGAGCAGGGGAAGGAAGGGAAAGAAAACCUCAACCAACAGAAGCCAGCACUUUUUACUGAAGGGGUACUGGGAACAGCUAAAGGUGAUACAGAGACUCUAUUAUUAGAAGGCUGCCUGAGUUCGGUGGAUGCGGUUGGUGAGGAUUUCUACAGCUGCAAACGCAACGGAUGCAUUUGUUCUGAAACUCACUGACUGGCUAAAACUCGUUAAAAACAGAUUUGUGAAAGUGACUCAGGAUUUGGAACAAACUGAAGAUGAGUAACAACACACAAUGAACAGAAAGAAUGUGUUGUAUUAUUUUUAAAACGUGUGGCACUGACAGCUCGCACCGACCCUGCUGAGGACAGAGCCCAGUUCCUUCCUUUCCUUGCCUUCACAUUUGCUUCCUUCUCUGCACUUCCUUAAGGUUAAACUGCAGAAUUUAAAGGGUUUUUUUACAUUUUUGUCUUGGACAUACUUCUGCUAAGCAACAGCUGACACUACAACUAAUAAUAGUAAUGCCAGGUAUUGCUGUAAUCAGGAAUCCAUGGUUCAUUUCCCUGCUGCAUAAUGGAACCUCAUUCCCAUUUCUGCAAAACGGAGUUUUUAAAACAAUUUAAACUAUUUCAGUUAUGUUAAGCUUCUGUAGAAAAGCCACAAAAAAUACAAAUUUUUCUUUGAAACUACUGCUGCGUGGUGUAAAUUGGUAUUUCAUAUAUUUAUUUAUUUUGUUUGUGAGAGACAACAAAAGAUUGUAUUUGUCUUAAAAAUACAAAAAAAAGGGGGUUUUUUUCUUUGUUUGGGUUUUACAACUAUUCACAGAGACAUUAACACAGUAAGUCUAUUAACAAGUGCAAGGGGUAUCACAAGUUCAGUUGUGGUAAUUAGUCAUAUUUCAGCUUUAAAUGAAUCUCCGCUCCAAAGAAAAAGAUUAUGGUUUUUCUUCUUGCUCUAUUACCCAACUGGCAUUUAAGUCAAUCUGCUGAAAGUGUAUCUGCUUCAAUGGAAGCUCAAAAUAACCUAUUAAAGGAAUAUGCAAAUCUCUGAGCUUUUUGGGAUUUUUUAAUACUUUAAUCUAAUAAGAACAUUUUACAUGACUAAGAAAUUCUGGCUGAAUCUGUUAUUCAGCUCUCCUUUAGCUCUGCCAUUAAUUUCAUUUUUGCUGUCAUGAAUAGGACAACAAAAAAAGAAAAAAAAAACCCUCUUAUUUUACUGGCAAGACGUUUAUAAGAAACGUCAAGUUCUUGUACAGGUUGCAUGAAACAAAGCUUCAUGCCAAGACAUAUUCCUGAUGUUUAGUACAGUAAGGAAAGCCUUUCCACAGAGGAUGGAAUCAAAGACUCAGCGACAGGUUUGG